GACGAACCGAGCGAACGUUGUUCGGAAUCACUGGGCUUAAAGGGCGCGUAGGCGGGCUGCCAAGUUUGGGGUGAAAUCCUCCGGCUCAACCGGGGAAGUGCCUUGAAUACUGGCGGUCUGGAGGGAGGUAGGGGCGUGCGGAACUGUAGGUGGAGCGGUGAAAUGCGUUGAUAUCUACAGGAACUCCGGUGGCGAAGGCGGCACGCUGGACCUUUUCUGACGCUGAGGAGCGAAAGCGUGGGGAGCGAACAGG
rnacentral:rRNA from 1 species